UUUCUUCAAAUAUCCAGAAUUUACUAGUUAUACGUUAUUCUGAGAUAGAGUGCAAAGACUUAUAGAAGAGCUAUGCCAAAGAAUAAAAUGAAUGCAAUCAAAGUUCUGAUUAUUAUCAUGCUUAUGACGGGCUUUGUGCAAGCUAAUUUUGAUCCUCCAAUGAAGCAUAGUAAAUGUUAUAAUAUAUGUUGCAUCAAAUGCACAUUUAAAUAUUUUUUCAAUAAACGUAAGUUGGUAGAAUGUUUUAAAUGUUGUAGAGUAAAAUGUCAUGAAUAUGCAAAUGAUGCUACAUAUGAUUGUAUUACUAGUUGUGCCAAGACAAAGUCCAUUGACAACAAUAUUGCCUAUGCGAUGGAUUCUUGCUAGCAAAAGUGCCAAAACAAGUAAUACUUGGUUACAAGCAUGUUCAAAUAAAAAGUUGUUUGGGAGAAAUAAUGUUUAUCCAUUAUUGUAAUAAAAAAAAUUCUCAAUGUU